CCUACAGGUGGCAGCAGUCGAGAAUCAUUCACAAUGGGGGAAACCCUGAUGGAGCGACGCCGCGUGGGGGAAUGAAGGUCUCCGGAUUGUAAACCCCUGUCAUGUGGGAGCAAAUUAAAAAGAUAGCACCACAAGAGGAAGAGACGGCUAACUCUGGGCCAGCAGCCGCGGUAAGACAGAGGUCUGAAGCGUUGGUCGGAAUCACUGGGCGUAAAGCGUUCGUAGGCUGUUUAGUAAGUAUGUUGUGAAAGGCGCGGGCUCAACCCGUGGACGGCAUAUGCUACUGCGUGACUAGAGUAAUGGAGGGGGAACCGGAAUUCUCGGUGUAGCAGUGAAAUGCGUAGAUAUCGGGAGGAACACUCGUGGCGAAGGCGGUUUCCUGGACAUUAACUGACGCUGAGGCACGAAGGCCAGGGGAGCGAAAGGGAUUAGAUACCCCAGUAGUC
rnacentral:rRNA from 1 species